rnacentral:rRNA from 1 species
AUUGAACGCUGGCGGCAUGCCUUACACAUGCAAGUCGAACGACCGGCGGGCGGGUGAGUAAUCUAUGCGGACUGCUCGAUAGAGGGGGCUAACUAAUGGCAACGGUAGCUACUACCGCCUCUUAUCCGAUCAUCCAUAUGGGAUUAGCUAGUGGGUGGGGUAAUGGCUCACCUCGGUGACGCUCCCUGGCUGGUCUGAGAGGAGGAUCAGCCACAAUGGGACUGAGACACGGCCCAUACUCCUACGGAGGCAGCAGUGGGGAAUAUUGCACAAUGUGGGCAAGCCUGAUUCAGCCAUGCCGCGUGUAUGAAGAAGGCCCUAGGGUUGUAAAGUACUUUCAGUCGGGAGGCGUUACCGGCAGAAGAAGCACCGGCUAACUCCGUGCCAGCAGCCGCGGUAAUAC